CUCUAUCUUCUGCCAA
rnacentral:sRNA from 1 species